GAUGAACGCCGGCGGCGUGCCUAAUACAUGCAAGUCGAGCGAACGGACGAGAAGCUUGCUUCUCUGAUGUUAGCGGCGGACGGGUGAGUAACACGUGGAUAACCUACCUAUAAGACUGGGAUAACUUCGGGAAACCGGAGCUAAUACCGGAUAAUAUUUUGAACCGCAUGGUACAAAAGUGAAAGACGGUCUUGCUGUCACUUAUAGAUGGAUCCGCGCUGCAUUAGCUAGUUGGUAAGGUAACGGCUUACCAAGGCAACGAUGCAUAGCCGACCUGAGAGGGUGAUCGGCCACACUGGAACUGAGACACGGUCCAGACUCCUACGGGAGGCAGCAGUAGGGAAUCUUCCGCAAUGGGCGAAAGCCUGACGGAGCAACGCCGCGUGAGUGAUGAAGGUCUUCGGAUCGUAAAACUCUGUUAUUAGGGAAGAACAUAUGUGUAAGUAACUGUGCACAUCUUGACGGUACCUAAUCAGAAAGCCACGGCUAACUACGUG
rnacentral:rRNA from 1 species